CAGCCGCCGCGGGAAUACGAAGGGGGCUAGCGUUGUUCGGAUUUACUGGGCGUAAAGCGCACGUAGGCGGAUCGAUCAGUCAGGGGUGAAAUCCCAGAGCUUAACUCUGGAACUGCCUUUGAUACUGUCGAUCUGGAGUAUGGAAGAGGUGAGUGGAAUUCCGAGUGUAGAGGUGAAAUUCGUAGAUAUUUGGAGGAACACCAGUGGCGAAGGCGGCUCACUGGUCCAUUACUGACGCUGAGGUGCGAAAGCGUGGGGAGCGAACAGGAUUAGAUACCCCUGUAGUCCCUGUCUCUUAUAC
rnacentral:rRNA from 1 species